AUCCACCCUAAAAUUAUUAUAAAGUUGACAAAGUAAUCAUAAAAGGAACCGUCUGUACACCCCUUUUAUAUAAUAAUGUCUUCCAAAAGACAUUCAAAACACAAAAGUUGGCAAUCCUAUAAACAAUCCGCAACAGAGCGUUCCAGUGAGUGAACUUCCGGGCAGUUUCUUUCACUGCGACCGUGUCGGAAGCAAGAAACGGUGAAGAGGACGUUGAGACAUCGAUCGUACGUGCGGAUAGCGGUAUCGAAUCAACUUAUCGCGGAUCCGUGACAUAGAAACCGGCCUUCUGUUCCAUUGGUCGUGUCCAAAAAGUGAAACAAAACGAAGAGAAAGAGAAAGAUUAUUGACGAGUGUUUUCGAUUGGUAUUACAAAAGAGAUAGGGCAGUUGAUACUCUUGAUGAAAGUUCCCUGUUCAAAGAUUCACGGCAAAGAGUUUGAAAUAUUCGAGUAGCAUACGAUUAUACUGGCACUCGAAAGGAGAAGGAGAAGGAGAACGGGAAAAGGCAGUUUUGCAAAGUGGUACUGCUUCGGUACACACCUGCAGCCGGUUGCUGCAGCGUUAUAUUGUCGAAUUUUUCUCGUACCACGGAUAUUUUCACGAAUGAAAUUUGCGAGGCAUUUAAGUUUAUGGCCGCGCCGGUUUGAAACCAGUCGUUCGGGAAAAGAAACCACAACGAUGGCUGUAUAGGUAAUGUGUAUAUAUCGGCACGAAGUUGAUUACGAUUGCCAGGGAUCCGAUGUGGCGCGAAAGAUAUCAUAACGACAUUUAGGGACAUGCGCAUAGGCGUAGAUUUCGAAAAGUUGAAAUACCUAACCUUGAAGUUUCUGUGAGAAAGGUAUACCAACCGUAAUAUAUUCAUAAAAGAUUUCUGUAAAUGUCCAGUUAUUUGAGUUAACUUAUAAUGAAGUAAAAUACAAGUGAAUGUUGGUCCGUGGUUCGACUAUUUUUCUAGUAAUGGAUCUAAAGGUUUCGGUUUUGCACGAUCUGACUCAUUGGCGACAGUCGAGUUACGGUACCCGACAUACCGAUGUGUUCCACCGAGCAUCAGGCUGCUCUCUCGUGUACACGUUCACAUGCAAAGCGGUUUACAUAUAUUCCUCACCACCUUUUUUCCGACCUAUCUAUCUACGUAAGGUAUACGCGAAGCACCUCGAACUUACAUCAAGCUUCACCUUUGAAUUAUUCAGCGAGCGUCACCUUGAGCGGCGACGUGCAAGUGUAGGCCGCCCUCUGUUUCUAUCUUUUUUUUUUCCCUUUGUACACGUGCGGACAAAUUCGUGAUGUCUUUCACGAUGACUUAGGCAGUCCAUGCGACGCGUUGAGAAGAAUAUGAAUAUCCAACUACGUCAAUCAGAUACUGCGCUUGGCUCACGAACACUCCUUAAGUUUUAAGCUACUACUAUGACUUUCCUUUGUUUGGAAAAGAUGAAUACAUUGAUUUACCUUCGAUUUAUUUUUAACCGAAGUUUUAUAACAUGUAUACAGAUGAAAAAUAAGAAGAGUUUUAUAUGAAGAGCGAUGGCAAAAACAGAAACAUCAAUAACUGAUUGAUAAUGUCUCGAGCAACUCUCGAUCAUACAAAGAUGAGUGACUAAUUUUAUUCAUUCAAGAAUUCUAGAACUUUUCCCACGUAAUUUACGAAGUAUUAUUCUUCAAUCUUCUAGCAUAUCUCUAAAGCCUCAAUACAGAAGUCGUGUUACGAAAUGUUUUAAAAUCCUUCCAUGUAUUUUCCAGGAGGAUGAGUCAUAAUCGCAUCUUCGCAUUGAAAACAUAUUGGUUAAGUAACUAAAGUUUACUGAGUGCUAAUUACAGCAAUAUCGCAUUAAUAGCUCAUUGGUGGUGGAGGACUAUAAUAAGUUAAAUAACAGAUAAUCAGAUUGGUCAAGUGUGUGUAAAUUCCUUUCAAUCGUAACACGUGAACAACCAAGAUUAUAAUCAGGCGAGCUGAAAGACUCGUGCAGAAAGUUUCCAUAUCGGAGAAAGUCCACACAAUAAUAAAGCAUGUUUCAGAUAACCAGAGUAAAAGUCGCUUUAAGACACAAAGGAAUGAACGAGUUUUAUCAUAAAGAUAUGUUGGUAACAUUAUAGCUCUCUUUUUUUCUUUACUACAUUUAAUUAAACGGGUUAAGAUAUGAAGAAUAUCAUGUACUUACUCGAUGAGGAUAAGCUAAAUGCCACGUGACGUUGAAGUUACUCCCAGAUAGUAAAGUAGUUUUAAUAUCGCCUGCAACAAAAAUGAGCGCAUUAUGCAAUUAUGUUGCGCGCGCUAUUCUAUACAAAUUUUCACGAUCGCUCGUCGUACGGAAACAUGUAAUUUCUCAUGAUCAUCGAUUUAAAUGGGGAACCUUACAGACAAUGAAAAGUUAAUAUUCAUUAGAGUAACGAGACACUAUAAUUUAUGACAAUCACCGGAAACAUGUGUGCAGGAAGAUCAGCGAAAUCUUGAGUACGAUUACUCCUAUCUACGACUGGUCAGAAAAUGAAAAAAGAAACAGAAAAAUCACAUUUUCUGUUCCUGUUUCAUCACAUAUGUGAUAAAUAUAUAAAUCUAUAUGAAGAACUCCGUAAUAUAUUCAGAUAAAACACAAUUUUAUAUGGAUUAGGAGAUUGACUACUACAUAUGGGAACAAUGUCAUCUACAGUAGCAUGAUCAAUAUUGCUAUUAAAGAUCUUUUUACGUUUGUAAUUUUGUAAAAAACCUGCGGUGAUAUUCCCAAGCUGCGGCAUAUUCUUUUCUCGGCAACGUCCUUCUAUCCAGAUAACAACGAUGCAUUUAAAGUUCACGUACUUUCCGCGACUACGCGAGAGCUCGUGAGGAGAAAAAAGGGUACGUGCACCGCGGAGGUAACACGUGGAAGGAUCAAUCCAGCAGCUAUUACAUCAUCUUAAUGAUAUGUACGUCAAUCUGACAAGCUUGAAACUAAGGAGGUCAAGAUUUACUGCAGUACCAUUGCUCUAAGAAAAGAAACCGAUAUACCAUAUUAUAUUUCAUACCAAUUAAAUACAUCUUCACACUGGUAUUUACACAAAUUGUACUUUGUAAAUUCAGCCAUUUAUUUUUAGACAUCUCUAUAUAAAUGAUAAUUACACAAGAAACACUCACCAC